rnacentral:rRNA from 1 species
GAUGAACGCUGGCGGCGUGCCUAAUACAUGCAAGUCGAGCGAACAGACGAGGAGCUUGCUCCUCUGACGUUAGCGGCGGACGGGUGAGUAACACGUGGAUAACCUACCUAUAAGACUGGGAUAACUUCGGGAAACCGGAGCUAAUACCGGAUAAUAUAUUGAACCGCAUGGUUCAAUAGUGAAAGACGGUUUUGCUGUCACUUAUAGAUGGAUCCGCGCCGCAUUAGCUAGUUGGUAAGGUAACGGCUUACCAAGGCAACGAUGCGUAGCCGACCUGAGAGGGUGAUCGGCCACACUGGAACUGGGACACGGUCCAGACGCCUACGGGAGGCAGCAGUAGGGAAUCUUCCGCAAUGGGCGAAAGCCUGACGGAGCAACGCCGCGUGAGUGAUGAAGGUCUUCGGAUCGUAAAACUCUGUUAUUAGGGAAGAACAAAUGUGUAAGUAACUAUGCACGUCUUGACGGUACCUAAUCAGAAAGCAACGGCUAACUACGUG